GAUGAACGCUAGCGGCAGGCUUAACACAUGCAAGUCGAGGGGUAUAGUUCUUCGGAACUAGAGACCGGCGCACGGGUGCGUAACGCGUAUGCAAUCUACCUUUUGCAGAGGGAUAGCCCCAGAGAAAUUUGGAUUAAUACCUCAUAGUAUAGCAGUUUCGCAUGAAACCACUAUUAAAGUCACAACAGCAAAAGAUGAGCAUGCGUCCCAUUAGCUAGUUGGUAAGGUAACGGCUUACCAAGGCUACGAUGGGUAGGGGUCCUGAGAGGGAGAUCCCCCACACUGGUACUGAGACACGGACCAGACUCUACGGGAGGCAGCAGUGAGGAAUAUUGGACAAUGGGCGCAAGCCUGAUCAGCCAUGCCGCGUGCAGGAUUGACGGUCCUAUGGGAUU
rnacentral:rRNA from 1 species